UUCCGGUUGAUCCUGCCGGAGGCGACCGCUUUGGGAGUUCGAUUAAGCCAUGCGAGUCGUGAGUCUUAGGGACUCGGCAUACUGCUCAGUAACACGUGGAUAACCUGCCCUAUCGUCUGGAAUAACCUCGGGAAACUGAGAAUAAGGCCGGAUAGUUCACAAUGCCUGGAACGGUUUGUGAAUCAAGGUAGGAUGGGUCUGCGGCGUAUCAGGUCGUAGGGGGUGUAAUGGACCUCCUAGCCAUCGACGCGUACGGGUUGUGGGAGCAAUAGCCCGGAGACGGAUUCUGAGACACGAAUCCGGACCCUACGGGGUGCAGCAGGCGCGAAAACUUCACACUGCAGGAAACUGUGAUGAGGGAACUCCAAGUGACUGCACAAUGUGUAGUCUUUUCUUGAAUCUUAAUAGUUCUUGGAAUAAGGGCUGGGAAAGACCGGUGCCAGCCGCCGCGGUAAUACCGGCAGCUCAAGUGGUCGUCGCUUUUAUUGGGCCUAAAACGUCCGUAGCCUGUUUGGUAAAUCUGUGGGUAAAUCAACGAGCUUAACUCGUUGAAUUCUGCAGAGACUGCCAGACUAGGGACCGGGAGAGGUAUGAGGUACUCUGGGGGUAGGGGUAAAAUCCUGUCAUCCUCAGAGGACCACCUGUUGCGAAGGCGUCAUACUGGAACGGAUCCGACGGUCAGGGACGAAGCCUAGGGGCACGAACCGGAUUAGAUACCCGGGUAGUCCUAGGUGUAAACGCUGUGGAUUUGGUGUGUGGGGUCCGCAAUGGGCCCCAUGUGCCGGAGUGAAGAUGUUAAAUCCACUGCCUGGGGAGUACGGUCGCAAGGCUGAACUUAAAGGAAUUUGUCGGGGGAGCACUGCAACGGGAGGAGCGUGCGGUUUAAUUGGAUUCAACGCCGGGA
rnacentral:rRNA from 1 species